rnacentral:rRNA from 1 species
UACAGAGGGUGCGAGCGUUAAUCGGAAUUACUGGGCGUAAAGCGUGCGCAGGCGGUUAUGUAAGACAGAUGUGAAAUGCCCGGGCUUAACCUGGGAACUGCAUUUGUGACUGCAUGGCUAGAGUGUGUCAGAGGGGGGUAGAAUUCCACGUGUAGCAGUGAAAUGCGUAGAUAUGUGGAGGAAUACCGAUGGCGAAGGCAGCCCCCUGGGAUAACACUGACGCUCAUGCACGAAAGCGUGGGGAGCAAACAGG